CUACAAUGACUCUCUUCUGGAACAUGACACCAGAGCUAAGAGACCAAUCAAGCAGGAGAGACCAGCCUCCCCUGUUCCCAGCUGUGUGUCCAUGAAGAGUGACUGGUCUAUGGGUCAUCCUAUACAGUUUAGAGAGGGAGACUUUUCUACUGAACCAAGAAAUCAACAAAAGAGAUCAGAGUCAGAGAUUCUCAGUGGUCAGCCUUCCCAGAGUCAUCAAACAGACCUGGAC